rnacentral:lncRNA from 1 species
UCGUGUGUCAGCGUCUGUACCCUUCAUGGAUGCCAACAAGUCCAUUCUAGCUGCGGCGUCGUCCCCGGGGGGUCUUCCGUUGUGUAGCGUUCACACACCAGUCCAGCCGAUGGAGUGUGACGAGAUCUACUGCGAUGUUCGUUUUGUAGACGCGUUGUGAGUCUGAAACAACUUACCGGUUAGGUUCUUUCUGCGGCUCUCGGCACACAGCCCCGGUGCACUGUUUUUAUAUAGACACGGCACGGUCUGGUUGAAACAACUGAAUUCUUGCUGCUGCUCUGGUGGCAUCCUCGGUGGUGACAGGGCGCUUCCGAGUCAUUCGUGUCGUGGAAGUCCUCACAAAGAAAAGAACAGGAUGUCCAAGACACACGAGUGGAAAGAUAUGCAGGUAGAAGCGGUUGGCCGGUUUGCGAGUCUCUCCCCGGUACUCUAUCAUCUGAUGUGUUGUCAUGGACGCCUCAACUGUUCGAGAAUCUAACAAUAAAACAUAUUCAAGUCAUCGGUAGGUUAAACGCUACUGAGAUUCUGGUCUAGACUCAUGUAUAGUCACUCCUUUCAAAUAAAAUUCUUAAAUGGCCGGCUAUCAGCAAUGUGGAAGAACGUCGGUAAGCUCUGUCGCUGGUCCCAUUCUCUUCUUGUGAGCCAGAACAACGGAUAAACGGUCUUUCCCCUGUCGAAGUUCCCACUCCAGCUCCACUGGCUGUCCGGUGUGACAUCGCCGUGAACAUCUCGUGGAGCGGGGUGGUAAUGGUAUACGGGGUGUAGUGCUCAACAAGAGACGUGCCAUCGAAAAAAGCGUCGAGCAACACCAGUGGCUGUGUAAACAUAUGAGAAUCCAGUUAACAUGCCGUUUCCGAACUGCUGAGAUGGGAUCAGUAGUGUAGGAUGUGUUCGACUGCCGCGAUAAACCACCGCCGCUUUCGGGGUGCGAAAUUCGUGGCGUUGGAGUCGGGCUUCAGGCGAUUCCGCUGGUCUCCUGCAUCAGCAAUGAUAUCACUCACUCGCGGCGAUCAUCAGUCGAUAGAGUUAUUCCUGCUUUGCUCAGUCCGGGCUUUUGCAUAAAAGCGUGUUUCGAUGUUUUUGAUUAGCGAAAUGUACGGCCAGCCACAGCCAGAUUGGCUCCGUCAACUAGAGACCCGACCCAUAAUAAGCGAAAAGAAGCGGACUGCACGCCGGUCGUAGUUUAGGUUCCUG